rnacentral:rRNA from 1 species
GACGAACGCUGGCGGCGUGCUUAACACAUGCAAGUCGAACGGUAAGGCUCCAGCUUGCUGGGGUACACGAGUGGCGAACGGGUGAGUAACACGUGGGUGACCUGCCCUGCACUUCGGGAUAAGCCUGGGAAACUGGGUCUAAUACCGGAUAGGACCAUGGUGUGGAUACUGUGGUGGAAAGUUUUUUCGGUGUGGGAUGGGCGCGCGGCCUAUCAGCUUGUUGGAGGGGUAAUGGCCUACCAAGGCGGCGGCGGGUAGCCGGCCUGCGCAGGUGGACGGCCACAUUGGGACUGAGACACGGCCCAGACUCCUACGGGAGGCAGCAGUGGGGAAUAUUGCACAAUGGGCGGAAGCCUGAUGCAGCGACGCCGCGUGGGGGAUGACGGCCUUCGGGUUGUAAACUCCUUUCACCAUCGACGAAGGGUUUCUGACGGUAGAUGGAGAAGAAGCACCGGCUAACUACGUG